rnacentral:rRNA from 2 species
GUUCUUUAAAUGAGGACUAGUAUCAAUGGCAUCACGAGGGUUAUACUGUCUCCCCCUUUUAAUCAGUGAAACUGAUCUUCCCGUGAAGAAGCGGGAAUAUAUCUAUAAGACGAGAAGACCCCAUGGAGCUUAAAACUCAGUAUCAGCUGCCCUCUAAUAUAUCCUCUUAAUUAGGCAGACUUGACUACUAGUUUUCGGUUGGGGUGACCGCGGAGCAAAACAAAACCUCCACGAUGAAAGGAACUAAUUUCCUAAUCAAAGAACCACAUUUCUAUGAAUCAACAAAUUGACAUUUAUUGAUCCAAUUUUUUUGAUCAACGAACCAAGUUACCCUGGGGAUAACAGCGCAAUCCAUUUCAAGAGCCCCUAUCGACAAAUGGGUUUACGACCUCGAUGUUGGAUCAGGGUAUCCCAGUGGUGCAGCCGCUAAUAAAGGUUCGUUUGUUCAACGAUUAAAACC